ACUCCUACGGGAGGCAGCAGUGAGGAAUAUUGGUCAAUGGAGGGAACUCUGAACCAGCCAUCCCGCGUGUAGGAAGACGGCCUUAUGGGUUGUAAACUACUUUUAUACAGGAAGAAACGUACCCUCGUGAGGGUGCCUGACGGUACUGUAGGAAUAAGCACCGGCUAACUCCGUGCCAGCAGCCGCGGUAAUACGGAGGGGUGCGAGCGUUAUCCGGAUUUAUUGGGGUUUAAAGGGUCCGUAGGCGGAUUAAUAAGUCAGUGGUGAAAUCCCAUCGCUUAACGAUGGAACUGCCAUUGAUACUGUUAGUCUUGAAUGAGGGUGCAGUGGUUGGAAUGUGUAGUGUAGCGGUGAAAUGCAUAGAUAUUACACAGAACACCGAUUGCGAAGGCAGAUCACUAACCCUAAAUUGACGCUGAGGGACGAAAGCGU
rnacentral:rRNA from 1 species